GGAUGUGAGGGCAAUCUGUCAUCCAAUUGACUGCCAGAGUUGGCUAAGUGGGUGUCCCCUUUUUCUCUCACUACUUCAUAUGUGCCCCCCACAUCUGUGCACUUGGUUGAAGAGGACAACCUUCUCCAAUAAAGGAAGACUGUUUUUCAGUCAAGGGUAUGUGAGCAGCUGUGCUCCCCUGGUAGAAGCUUUAAACAAGCUCUCAAGGACAAAUAACAAAAUGUGAAUGGGGCCUAUGGUUUAGAUGGGAAUAACAUAUGGAUAUUAAUGUCCUGAUUUUGAUGGCUUAUUACUAU
rnacentral:snRNA from 1 species